rnacentral:rRNA from 2 species
UGGGGAAUAUUGCACAAUGGAGGGAACUCUGAUGCAGCGACGCCGCGUGAACGAAGAAGGCUUUCGAGUCGUAAAGUUCUUUUAUAUGGGAAGAUAAUGACGGUACCAUAAGAAAAAGCCCCGGCUAACUACGUGCCAGCAGCCGCGGUAAUACGUAGGGGGCUAGCGUUGUCCGGAAUCACUGGGCGUAAAGGGUUCGCAGGCGGAAAUGCAAGUCAGGUGUAAAAGGCAGUAGCUUAACUACUGUAAGCAUUUGAAACUGCAUAUCUUGAGAAGAGUAGAGGUAAGUGGAAUUUUUAGUGUAGCGGUGAAAUGCGUGGAUAUUAAAAAGAAUACCGGUGGCGAAGGCGACUUACUGGGCUCAUUCUGACGCUGAGGAACGAAAGCGUGGGUAGCAAACAGG